GGCUCAGGACGAACGCUGGCGGCGUGCCUAACACAUGCAAGUCGAACGGGGUUGAGUGCUUCGGUAUUCAACCUAGUGGCGAACGGGUGAGUAACGCGUGAAGAACCUGCCCUUCAGUGGGGGACAACAGUUGGAAACGACUGCUAAUACCGCAUGACGCUUCUUGGGGGCAUCCCCAAGAAGUCAAAGCUUUAUGUGCUGAAAGAUGGCUUCGCGUCUGAUUAGCUAGAUGGCGGGGUAACGGCUCACCAUGGCGACGAUCAGUAGCCGGUCUGAGAGGAUGAACGGCCACAUUGGGACUGAGAUACGGCCCAGACUCCUACGGGAGGCAGCAGUGGGGAAUAUUGGGCAAUGGGGGAAACCCUGACCCAGCAACGCCGCGUGAAGGAAGAAGGCCUUCGGGUUGUAAACUUCUUUUACCAGGGACGAAGGACGUGACGGUACCUGGAGAAAAAGCAACGGCUAACUACGUGCCAGCAGCCGCGGUAAUACGUAGGUUGCAAGCGUUGUCCGGAUUUACUGGGUGUAAAGGGCGUGUAGGCGGAGAUGCAAGUCGGGAGUGAAAUCCAUGGGCUCAACCCAUGAACUGCUUUCGAAACUGUAUCCCUUGAGUAUCGGAGAGGCAAGCGGAAUUCCUAGUGUAGCGGUGAAAUGCGUAGAUAUUAGGAGGAACACCAGUGGCGAAGGCGGCUUGCUGGAUGACAACUGACGCUGAGGCGCGAAAGCGUGGGGAGCAAACAGGAUUAGAUACCCUGGUAGUCCACGCUGUAAACGAUGAAUACUAGGUGUGGGAGGACUGACCCCUUCCGUGCCGCAGUUAACACAAUAAGUAUUCCACCUGGGGAGUACGACCGCAAGGUUGAAACUCAAAGGAAUUGACGG
rnacentral:rRNA from 1 species